UACAGAGGGUGCGAGCGUUACUCGGAAUUAUUGGGCGUAAAGAGCUCGUAGGCGGCUUGUCACGUCGGUUGUGAAAGCCCGGGGCUUAACCCCGGGUCUGCAGUCGAUACGGGCAGGCUAGAGUGUGGUAGGGGAGAUCGGAAUUCCUGGUGUAGCGGUGAAAUGCGCAGAUAUCAGGAGGAACACCGGUGGCGAAGGCGGAUCUCUGGGCCAUUACUGACGCUGAGGAGCGAAAGCGUGGGGAGCGAACAGG
rnacentral:rRNA from 1 species